rnacentral:rRNA from 1 species
CCCGCUGAACUUAAGCAUAUCAAUAAGCGGAGGAAAAGAAACUAACAAGGAUUCCCCUAGUAACUGCGAGUGAAGCGGGAAGAGCUCAAAUUUGAAAUCUGGCGGUCCCUUGGGCUGUCCGAGUUGUAAUCUAGAGAAGUGUACCUGUGCUGGACCGUGUACAAGUCUCCUGGAAUGGAGCAUCACAGAGGGUGAGAAUCCCGUCUUUGACAUGGACUGCCUGUGCGAUAUGGUGCGCUCUCGAAGAGUCGAGUUGUUUGGGAAUGCAGCUCAAAAUGGGUGGUAAAUGCCAUCUAAAGCUAAAUACUGGCGAGAGACCGAUAGCGAACAAGUACCGUGAGGGAAAGAUGAAAAGAACUUUGGAAAGAGAGUUAAACAGUACGUGAAAUUGCUGAAAGGGAAACGCUUGAAGUCAGUCGCGUCGGCUGGAAAUCAGUCUUGCUUCUGCUUGACGUACUUUCUGGUUCGACGGGUCAGCAUCAGUUUUGACCGCCGGAUAAAGUCGUUGGGAAUGUGGCAUCUUCAUGAUGUGUUAUAGCCCGUCGUCGCAUACGGUGGUCGGGAUUGAGGAACUCAGCACGCCGCGAGGCCGGGUCGUUUCUGCGAUCACGUUCGUGCUUAGGAUGCUGGCAUAAUGGCUUUAAUCGACCCGUCUUGAAACACGG